GAUUCCGUAGUGUAGCGGUUAUCACAUCUGCCUAACACGCAGAAGGCCCCGGUUCGAGCCCGGCCGGAAUCA
rnacentral:tRNA from 1 species